UAUAGUUAAUUUUAUGGGUACCCGAUAAUAAUACUAUAUUUUUAUGCACAGCUCAAACAAAUAAUCUAAAAUAAUGAAAACAUUACUGCAAUAUAAAACUUGAGUUGACUUACAUAAGGGUCCCAAAAUCAAAAUGCGCACAUGAUUUAUUGUCAUUUUGAGUUUGAGAAUUUGCAAAAAGGCAAAGAAAGCAGGUACAACAAACGAUUCAGACAACGACUGGAAUGCAAGAGGGGAGAGCGAUGUAAGGGAGAGGAGGGAGAGGGGGGAAAGCUGGCAUCCAGUUAACUUCAUUCGCUCGUGGUGAGGUCAAGGGUUAAAAUGUGGGAGUCACGAUUCUGUGGGGCUAGCGAUUUGGCUCAAUACGCGCUGCUCUCUGUGGACUCUCGCAUGAAAUGAAGUUACCAAAAAAUCAAAAUACUCGCUAAGUACCG